rnacentral:rRNA from 1 species
CCCCUAGAUGUUCUGGGCCGCACGCGCGCUACACUGACGAAUGCAACGAGCUUAUAACCUUGGCCGAAAGGUCUGGGUAAUCUCCAAAUUUCGUCGUGAUGGGGAUAGAUUAUUGCAAUUAUUAAUCUUCAACGAGGAAUGCCUAGUAAGCGCAAGUCAUCAGCUUGCGUUGAUUACGUCCCUGCCCUUUGUACACACCGCCCGUCGCUCCUACCGAUUGAAUGGUCCGGUGAAGCGCUCGGACCGCGGCCUCUUGACGGGUCUCCGUCGAUUGGCUGUGGGAAGUUCGUUAAACCUUAUCAUUUAGAGGAAGGAGAAGUCGUAACA